rnacentral:rRNA from 1 species
GACGAACGCUGGCGGCGUGCCUAAUACAUGCAAGUCGAGCGAAGUUUUUCUGGUGCUUGCACCGGAAAAACUUAGCGGCGAACGGGUGAGUAACACGUAAAGAACCUGCCUCAUAGACUGGGACAACUAUUGGAAACGAUAGCUAAUACCGGAUAAUAGCAUUAACUGCAUGGUUGAUGUUUAAAAGUUGGUUUUGCUAACACUAUGAGAUGGCUUUGCGGUGCAUUAGCUAGUUGGUGGGGUAAAGGCCUACCAAGGCGACGAUGCAUAGCCGACCUGAGAGGGUGAUCGGCCACACUGGGACUGAGACACGGCCCAGACUCCUACGGGAGGCGGCAGUAGGGAAUCUUCCGCAAUGGGCGAAAGCCUGACGGAGCAACGCCGCGUGAGUGAAGAAGGAUUUCGGUUCGUAAAGCUCUGUUAUUAGGGAAGAAUGAUUGUGUAGUAACUAUACACAGUAGAGACGGUACCUAACCAGAAAGCCACGGCUAACUACGUG